UCUGCCCACAUCGGAUAUUGAAACCCGAUUUUUAGUGUUAUAAGCUCUUAGAUUUAUCCCUGAAGCAUCCGAGGGGAACAGAGAAGUUUGUAAGUUUCGAGCAAAACUACUUGUGCUUGCCGUCCCUAACUUUGAAGUGAUUGCCUAGAGAGAAGGCAGUUAGACAACACCACACACACCACCAACUCUUUAGUUACUUUACCAACAAAAGUGAAAUCAACAGUCACGUUAUAAAGUCCUCAAGGCUGAAGGGGCGAGCAUGUUCGACGAUAUGAGUCGGGGGUUCUAACUGGCCAGCCCAUGACAGGCCCGGAGGAAGAAGAAGUUUUAUGUCACAUAUCAUCCCUUGUAGGAUCUCAGAGGUGAACAUGACAGACACUGUUAGUACUGGAAGUGUAAGUGAUGAUAGAACUCAUGCUUCAUUCAGCCCCCAAAAUGCACUCCCUCAAAUACUUUUUAAAGAAAAUUACAUAACAUCAAAGCACUGGACAGUAGUUAUAGUUGGAGCUGGUGUUGCAGGAUUGGCAGCUGCUCAGAGACUGAUGGAAGGAGGUUGCAAUAGUGUCCUGGUUUUAGAGGCACAAGAUCAUCCUGGUGGUCGAAUCCAUACUAUGAAUUUUGGUGAUGGAGUGCUGGAGCUUGGAGCUCAAUGGGUGCAUGGAGAGAAAGGAAAUCCUCUUUUUGAAUAUGCCCAAAAUAUGGAUAUUUUGAGUGACCCAAGGACAGAAUAUUCUGUGGAAGCAAGAGGUUUGUUCUAUAGUGAGACAGCUGAGCAGGUUCCUGAGAUUGUUGUGGAUGAAACUUUAAUGGCUUUGGAGAAUAUUAAAGAAAAUAUUUAUAAAAUGUUCAGUCCUACUGAAAGUGAUAAUAUUUUGUCUAGUUCAGCCUCAGUUGGAGAUUUUUUUAAACAAAAAUUUGAAAUGUUUUUAGAAGAAUGUGGAGAUUUACCACAUGUCCAAGCAUGGAGAAGAGGGAUCUAUGAAUGGUUCCUAAAAUAUGAGUUGACAGAAAAUGCCUGUAAUAGUUUGAAUGAUGUAUCUUGUUGUGGAUUUGCCGAGUGGACAGAUUGUCCUGGAAAUUACCUUAUCAACUUUAAAAAUGGGUUUCAGUCAGUAGUUAAGUCCCUGAGUAAGGACAUUUCAUCUGAACAGCUAUGUCUGUCUAAACCGGUCAGUUGUAUUCAUUGGCAAGAAACAUAUGAAGGUAAAGAGUUGCCUACUGUGACAGUGGAAUGCUCAGAUGGAGAUAUGCUAUGUGCUGAUCACGUUAUACUUACAAUGUCAGUUGGCUAUUUGAAACAACACAAUCAGACGCUCUUUAGUCCUCCACUACCAGACAGGAAGCAAGAACUUUUAACACACUUGGGGUUUGGAUCAGUGGAGAAAAUCUUCUUGGUGUUUGACACACCAUUUUGGAGUGACUCAGACCUUGGCUUUCAGCUUGUAUGGACUUCCAAUACAGAAGCUUCUAGUGAAUGGGUGCGUGGAAUUAGAGGUUUUGAUACUGUUAAGGGCCAUUCUAAUGUUCUGUUAGGAUGGAUCAGUGGAAAAGAUGCAGAACUAAUGCAGACAUUAGGAGAAGAAGAAGUGAAAAUUAAGUGUGCAUUUUUGCUGAGAAUGUUUUUGGGUCGAAGUGAUAUUCCUUUACCAAGAAGAGUCAUUAGGUCAAAUUGGCAGAAAAACCAAUACAUCUGUGGAGCUUAUAGUUAUCGAUCAGUGAGUUACACAAAAUUAGGUUUCAGGACAAGUAUUUUGGCUGAGCCAUUGUAUUGCACGCUGUUGAACAAGGAAGUGCCAGAAAAGUGGCCAGUGGUGUUGUUUGCUGGAGAAGCUACUGACCAGGAUUUUUUUUCCUCUGCUCAUGGAAGUCUGAGAUCAGGAUGGAGAGAAGCUGAUCGCUUGCUUUCAUUAAAGAGAUCAUGUAUAACUUGGAACUGGUUGCUUUCAUCACAGCUUUGGUCUACAUCAACGUCCACAUCACAUUUCUAUAUCAACACUUUGAGGAGGCGAGUUUGAGCCUUCUUUUUUCACAGGGACUUUCUGCUCUCAGCUUGAGACAUUUGCAACUUUCCCAGAUGCUUUGAGGUACUUACCUAUUAAAUAGCUUCCCUCCUGCCUCUGCACAACCACAUUUUCAUCAUGACUGCAACUUUCAAGCAAGU
rnacentral:misc_RNA from 1 species